ensembl:rRNA 5S_rRNA 5S ribosomal RNA
ACUUUUAAUUAAAAAAUUAAUAAAUAAAAGCCUGAUCUCAUCUGACCUCAGAAGCAAAGCAAAGUUGGGCCUGGUUAGUACUUGGUUGGGAGACUGAAUGGGACUACUAGGUGCUGUAAGCU